GACGAACGCUGGCGGUGUGCUUAACACAUGCAAGUGGUGCGACGAACCAGGCUUCGGCCUGGGGCAAAGCCGCGAACGGGUGAGUAACACGUGGGUAAUCUGCCCCGAUGACUGGGACAACCCGAGGAAACUCGGGCUAAUACCGGAUGUGGUGCCUGGACAUAAGUCCGGUCACUAAAGGUAGCUUCGGCUUCCGCAUUGGGAGGGGCCCGCGGCCCAUUAGCUUGUUGGUGGGGUCAAGGCCUACCAAGGCAACGAUGGGUAGCUGGUCUGAGAGGACGAUCAGCCACACUGGGACUGAGACACGGCCCAGAAUCCUACGGGAGGCAGCAGUGGGGAAUCUUGCGCGAUGCGCGAAAGCGUGACGCAGCAACACCGCGUGAGGGAAGACGGCCUUAGGGUUGUAAACCUCUUUCAGAUGGGACGAAGGUUGUCCGGUGAAUAGCCGAGAUGAUUGACGGUACCGUCAGAAGAAGCUCCGGCUAACUACGUGCCAGCCGCCGCAGUAAAAC
rnacentral:rRNA from 1 species